rnacentral:tRNA from 3 species
GUUAAGAUGGCAGAGCCCGGCAAUUGCAAAAGACCUAAGCCCUUUCACCCAGAGGUUCAACUCCUCUUCUUAAC